rnacentral:rRNA from 1 species
AAGCGGAGGAAAAGAAACCAACAGGGAUUGCCUUAGUAACGGCGAGUGAAGCGGCAAAAGCUCAAAUUUGAAAUCUGGCACCUUCGGUGUCCGAGUUGUAAUUUGAAGAAGGUAACUUUGGAGUCAGCUCUUGUCUAUGUUCCUUGGAACAGGACGUCACAGAGGGUGAGAAUCCCGUGCGAUGAGAUGUCUGAUUCUAUGUAAAGUGCUUUCGAAGAGUCGAGUUGUUUGGGAAUGCAGCUCUAAGUGGGUGGUAAAUUCCAUCUAAAGCUAAAUAUUGGCGAGAGACCGAUAGCGAACAAGUACAGUGAUGGAAAGAUGAAAAGAACUUUGAAAAGAGAGUGAAAAAGUACGUGAAAUUGUUGAAAGGGAAGGGUUUGAGAUCAGACUUGGUAUUUUGUAUGUCUUGCUUUCGGGUGGGGCCUCUACAGUUUACUGGGCCAGCAUCGGUUUGGAUGGUAGGAUAAUGACAUUGGAAUGUGGCACCACUUCGGUGGUGUGUUAUAGACUUUGUUGAUACUGCCUGUCUAGACCGAGGACUGCGUCUUUGACUAGGAUGCUGGCAUAAUGAUCCUAAACCGCCCGUCUU